GCGAAUUAUAUCCGAAUUAUAUCCGUACCGAAUUUUUGCUGAAUCCGAAUUAACUAACUAUGCUACAAACCCUAGAUCGCUCAUCCUUGAUAUCUUCUUGACGACGGUGAACCCUAAUCUCUUGCAAAUGGGGAGCAGGAACAAGAGGAAGUAGAUCCUAAUUCUUGCUCUGUAGGUUUUAAAUUGAAUUGAUCCCUUACUUAACUGGAAUCUCAAUAUCAUCAAGUCAUAGCACCGAAAGACUUUCUUGAAAUGCUUUGCUUUUCGACCCAGUUUUGGCCCAAAUUCACUCACUUAGGCCCCCAAAUUUGCAAUUUAGUUCUUUUUAUUAUAUUUAAAAGAAAGUUUUGUGUCGUUUUUUUUUUUUUUGUUCUGAAUUAGGUUGGAAUUCUACAAUAUCGAGGUCAGGAUUCUACUAUGUUCUGAUUUUGUUCUUUUUCCUAUUUUUGAUAGGUUUAAGUGAAUGCCUUUAUAUAAAGGCCUACUAGCUGGGUUUUCAUAAAGGAAAUCUUUUUCUAAUAACUGAUUGUUGUUUUAGAAGAAAACUCUUCUGCCUCUCGCAUCCGUCCUUGUGCUUAUUCUGUUUCCGACACACAGUGAGUGCUGCAUCGCGAAAUUUAAUCAAAUGGGUGUUUCUUGAUUUUCUUCAAUGUAAUUGUCUGAGCCCAACUUUUAUAUGUAUCCUAAUGGCACAUCAUCUACAUCAAUAUGCCCACUAUUGCAACAAAAGAUUUACGAGUUGUAUCAUCACUUCAGUAGAGACUUAAUGCACAUUGAGGGAGUUGGCAACAAAUGUUCCUCGAAUGCAAGCCUUUGCGUUUGCUGCUCACGCACAUAUAAGAGUACAUUAAGCUCAAGCUGAAUGAAGCUAUGCUUGUUUAAUAAUUGAACUCUCUAAUUGUUAGAUUACAAUUAGAGAUCAUGUGGUUCAAAUUCACAUAGUGCUUAACUGAGUACAGCAUUUAUUACAUCAAAGUAAAAUUAAUUAAAUACUUCUUUAUUUUCCACACCUAAGUGAUUAUUAUUAUUAUUUGUACACUAGAGAUCAUAGCAAAACAUUAUCACAUACUUAAUUUGUUAAACUUUUCUUUAUUUUUUUAUCUUCAUUGUUAAGAUAAACCCUAACCUCCACCACAGGAAAAGUUCUCGCCGACAAUUUGAGUCUAAGGGUGCAGCAACUCACGAAUGGAUCCAAAUUGAUGCUAAUCGCUUCUCAAGGCUUGCAUCAAGGGUUACCAAUAGCAUCAUGAAUGCAGUGAACACAUCUGAAACAAAUUGAUGAAUGCAGUGAACACAUCAUAAAUGCUUUGAAAUGUUUGAUGAAUGCAGUUACCAAUAGCAUGAUGAAUGCAGUGAACAUCUGUGCAGAAUGCGUGUCUAUGGCUGAUUUCGUGUUCAUCUGUGCCAUAUUUAUAAGAGGUGGCGACGAAAAAUAUUUGGCAGGUCAUUAGCGAUGUAUUGAAUCGGCAUGUAAGAAUUUAGACAUAUUUUGACAACUUUACAUUUGAUAGCAAGUGGAUAUGACAAAAACACUAUUAUUGUGUUUUAUUUUUUGGUUGUGUUGGGUGAUUGUAUUAGAUGACAAUGCAGUGAUACUCUAACAUACAUGGUUCUUGUGAGACAAUUUAAAUUACUUAGUUUGAUUCAGUCUUACUUAUGUUGUC